UCGUUGUAUUUCAACUACAAGAACACCA
rnacentral:ncRNA from 2 species